rnacentral:tRNA from 1 species
ACUUUUAUAGGAUAGAGGUAAUCCAUUGGUCUUAGGAACCAAAGCCUUGGUGCAACUCCAAAUAAAAGUA